rnacentral:rRNA from 1 species
UACGAAGGGGGCUAGCGUUGUUCGGAUUCAUUGGGCGUAAAGGGUGCGUAGGUGGCGCCGUAAGUCAGGUGUGAAAUUUCGGAGCUUAACUCCGAAACUGCAUUUGAUACUGCGGUGCUUGAGGACUGGAGAGGAGACUGGAAUUUACGGUGUAGCAGUGAAAUGCGUAGAUAUCGGGAGGAACACCUGUGGCGAAAGCGGCGCACUGGACCAUAACUGACGCUGAGGCGCGAAAGCUAGGGGAGCAAACAGG